rnacentral:rRNA from 1 species
UACGGAGGGAGCUAGCGUUAUUCGGAAUUACUGGGCGUAAAGCGCACGUAGGCGGCUUUGUAAGUAAGAGGUGAAAGCCCAGAGCUCAACUCUGGAAUUGCCUUUUAGACUGCAUCGCUUGAAUCAUGGAGAGGUCAGUGGAAUUCCGAGUGUAGAGGUGAAAUUCGUAGAUAUUCGGAAGAACACCAGUGGCGAAGGCGGCUGACUGGACCAUUACUGACGCUGAGGCGCGAAAGCGUGGGGAGCGAACAGG